UAGCUGGUGAUUUACUCUGAGGCUGUUC
rnacentral:piRNA from 1 species